UCCGACUUGAAUUCAACUUUCUGGAACUUCCAGUGCACUUGGGUGAGAGACACAACGCGAGGCCGUGCAGGGAGCGAGCCCGGGCCGGGGGCAGACCUAGCACAGGCGAAGCACGUGAAGCAGCGCAGGCCCCAUCCCAGCGCGGGCGGGCCUCUGCCGACCCCCAAGUGUCACACACCCCGCGGCCACAGACACCCCCGAAGACGCACCCCCUGCCAGCUCCGAGCACUGGGCCCCAGCGCUUGAAGUCCCCGAGACGCAGGUGACUUAAAGGGUGGGAAAAUGAUGGAACUCGUCCCUCCAGAUUGCGGCUGUUCGUCAAGGAACUGAGCAGGACACUUUGGGGGCUCCCAGGGCAGAGAUGCCUGGGCACUCCGGCCAUCACCCGCUCAGGGAGGGUCCAGGCCACCAGGAGACUGUUCUGACGGGAGCAGACGCUGCUGAGCCAAGGCCGAAGUGAAGGGAUAGUAACUACGUGCCUCCUCUGCAGCACAGUUUCCUGCCGGUCGCCUACACGUUCGCCAAGAUGACCUCCCCUGUCGUCAUAGCAACCUCGGAAGGGGUGGAGGAGAUGCAGGGUGAUCAUCCUCGUUUUGCACAGGAGGGAGGUUGAGCCCCAGAGAGUCUGGACUGUGGGGGGGCCCCAGAUGACCGCAAGCUCACUGAUGAUGCUCCAGACCAUGCCUUCUCUGCCCGCUCCGAGGUCAGAGCUCCCACGGGGUCUCGCAGGACUUCGAUGAGUCGGGCCUGCGUUCCCUGGCAGUGGUUGGUCCAUUCCCACAGCCCCCUAUUCCUGCCUGCUCCUCUCCCGCCCGCUUCUUCCGCUCUCCCGCGGUUACACUGGGCCGACCGUGCGGUCCGGUACCAUCUCCCCACCGCAAGGUUCAGAAUCUAGUCACGACUUCGAAGUCCCUGCCGCCACCGGGGAAGGUGGCCUCGCAGCUUCCAGGGCACCCAGCUGUGGGUGUGUGCAGGGGCUGCAUGCUGCCCCCGGCACGGGCCUGGUAGGGUGCCUGAUCCCCGAAGGGGGCACGUGCCACGCAAAUCCAGCUGGGAAAACCGUGCGCUUCCAGCAGGACAUCAUUGCUCUGCCCGGGGAAAUAAUCUCAGAGUUCGUCCGCCCCGCAGCACCCCAAAACACGGCAGCAAAUGCUGCCUGCCUUCACCCCAAGUGCAGGGAGGGGGGGAAGAGUCCCAGUUUCCCCCGAAUAACACACGGCUGUCUAGCUACAAAAUAACAGGAGGUUACAAUUUUCACAGGCCGUCCCUUCCCCUCUCUCUUCGGACACGAACUGUAUUUCACACUGCGAGAAGUGAAGUGAUUUUUUUCUCCUCCCUUUGCGUUCUGCUUGUGCAUUUCGUGCUUAAGGCUCACCUUCCGGAGGGAGCCAGGAGAAGGGGAAUGAUCUUCACGAAGCGUUGUUGCACAAGGUCGUCUCUCACAUGGGCGGCUCCCUGCCGCCGUGACAGAGAGAGAAUCCAGCAGGUUCGAGAGAAGCACAG